GUCGUAACAAGGUCUCCGUAGGUGAACCUGCGGAGGGAUCAUUACACAAAUAUGAAGGCGGGCUGGAACCUCUCGGGGUUACAGCCUUGCUGAAUUAUUCACCCCUGUCUUUUGCGUACUUCUUGUUUCCUUGGUGGGUUCGCCCACCACUAGGACAAACAUAAACCUUUUGUAAUUGCAAUCAGCGUCAGUAACAAAUUAAUAAUUACAACUUUCAACAACGGAUCUCUUGGUUCUGGCAUCGAUGAAGAACGCAGCGAAAUGCGAUAAGUAGUGUGAAUUGCAGAAUUCAGUGAAUCAUCGAAUCUUUGAACGCACAUUGCGCCCUUUGGUAUUCCAAAGGGCAUGCCCGUUCGAGCGUCAUUUGUACCCUCAAGCUUUGCUUGGUGUUGGGCGUCUUGUCUCUAGCUUUGCUGGAGACUCGCCUUAAAGUAAUUGGCAGCCGGCCUACUGGUUUCGGAGCGCAGCACAAGUCGCACUCUCUAUCAGCAAAGGUCUAGCAUCCAUUAAGCCUUUUUUUUCAACUUUUGACCUCGGAUCAGGUAGGGAUACCCGCUGAACUUAAGCAUAUCA
rnacentral:rRNA from 1 species